GAUGAAGAACGUAGCGAAAUGCGAUAAGUAAUGCGAGUUGCAGAAUUUCCGUGAGUCAUCGAAUCUUUGAACGCACAUUGCGCCCACUGGUAUUCCGGUGGGCAUGCCUGUUCGAGCGUCAUUAUCCUCCCUCAAACCCCGGGUUUGGUGUUGGACCCAAGUUGUGUGAACAACUGGUCUCAAAGACAAUGACGGCGUCCGUGGGACCCUCGGUGCAACGAGCUUUUAGGAGCACGCAUCGAGUUGCAAGGACCUUCCGGGCCGGUCUCCUUUACCAUUUUACAAGGUUGACCUCGGAUCAGGUAGGAAUACCCGCUGAACUUAAGCAUAUCAAUAAGCGGAGGA
rnacentral:misc_RNA from 1 species